rnacentral:rRNA from 1 species
GAUGAACGCUGGCGGCGUGCCUAAUACAUGCAAGUCGAGCGAACGGACGAGAAGCUUGCUUUUCUGAUGUUAGCGGCGGACGGGUGAGUAACACGUGGAUAACCUACCUAUAAGACUGGGAUAACUUCGGGAAACCGGAGCUAAUACCGGAUAAUAUUUUGAACCGCAUGGUUCAAAAGUGAAAGACGGUCUUGCUGUCACUUAUAGAUGGAUCCGCGCUGCAUUAGCUAGUUGGUAAGGUAACGGCUUACCAAGGCAACGAUGCAUAGCCGACCUGAGAGGGUGAUCGGCCACACUGGAACUGAGACACGGUCCAGACUCCUACGGGAGGCAGCAGUAGGGAAUCUGCCGCAAUGGGCGAAAGCCUGACGGAGCAACGCCGCGUGAGUGAUGAAGGUCUUCGGAUCGUAAAACUCUGUUAUUAGGAAGAACAUAUGUGUAAGUAACUGUGCACAUCUUGACGGUACCUAAUCAGAAAGCCACGGCUAACUACGUG